rnacentral:rRNA from 1 species
UGGGGAAUAUUGCGCAAUGGGGGAAACCCUGACGCAGCAACGCCGCGUGAGUGAAGAAGUAUCUCGGUAUGUAAAGCUCUAUCAGCGGGGAAGAAGGAAGACGGUACCCGACUAAGAAGCCCCGGCUAACUACGUGCCAGCAGCCGCGGUAAUACGUAGGGGGCGAGCGUUAUCCGGAUUUACUGGGUGUAAAGGGAGCGUAGACGGCGUCGCAAGUCUGAAGUGAAAGCCCGUGGCUCAACCGCGGAACCGCUUUGGAAACUGCGAGGCUGGAGUGCUGGAGAGGUAAGCGGAAUUCCUGGUGUAGCGGUGAAAUGCGUAGAUAUCAGGAGGAACACCGGUGGCGAAGGCGGCUUACUGGACAGUGACUGACGUUGAGGCUCGAAAGCGUGGGGAGCGAACAGG